rnacentral:rRNA from 1 species
GAACGCUGGCGGCAUGCCUUACACAUGCAAGUCCAUCGGCAGCGCGGGCUUCGGCCUGGCGGCGAGUGGCGAACGGGUGAGUAAUACAUCGGAACGUGCCCUGUUGUGGGGGAUAACUAGUCGAAAGAUUAGCUAAUACCGCAUACGACCUGAGGGUGAAAGCGGGGGACCGGUAACGGCCUCGCGCAAUAGGAGCGGCCGAUGUCUGAUUAGCUAGUUGGUGGGGUAAAGGCCUACCAAGGCGACGAUCAGUAGCUGGUCUGAGAGGACGAUCAGCCACACUGGGACUGAGACACGGCCCAGACUCCUACGGGAGGCAGCAGUGGGGAAUUUUGGACAAUGGGGGCAACCCUGAUCCAGCAAUGCCGCGUGUGUGAAGAAGGCCUUCGGGUUGUAAAGCACUUUUGUCCGGAAAGAAAUCGCGCUAGCUAAUACCUGGCGUGGAUGACGGUACCGGAAGAAUAAGCACCGGCUAACUACGUGCCAGCAGCCGCGGUAAUACGUAGGGUGCGAGCGUUAAUCGGAAUUACUGGGCGUAAAGCGUGCGCAGGCGGUUUUGUAAGACAGGCGUGAAAUCCCCGGGCUUAACCUGGGAAUGGCGCUUGUGACUGCAAGGCUAGAGUGCGUCAGAGGGGGGCAGAAUUCCCCGUGUAAGCAUGAAAUGCGUAGAGAUGUGGAGGAAUACCGAUGGCCAAAGCAGCCCUCUGGUACGAGACUGACGCUCAUGCACGAAAAGCGGGGGGAGCAAACAGGGCUAGAAUACCCUGGUAGUCCACGCCCUAAACGAUGUCAACUAGUGGUUGGGGAUUCAUUUCCUCAGUAACGUAGCUAACGCGUGAAGUUGACCGCCUGGGGAGUACGGUCGCAAGAUUAAAACUCAAAGGAAUUGACGGGGACCCGCACAAGCGGUGGAUGAUGUGGAUUAAUUCGAUGCAACGCGAAAAACCUUACCUACCCUUGACAUGCCACUAACGAAGCAGAGAUGCAUCAGGUGCCCGAAAGGGGAAGUGGACACAGGUGCUGCAUGGCUGUCGUCAGCUCGUGUCGUGAGAUGUUGGGUUAAGUCCCGCAACGAGCGCAACCCUUGUCUCUAGUUGCUACGCAAGGGCACUCUAGAGAGACUGCCGGUGACAAACCGGAGGAAGGUGGGGAUGACGUCAAGUCCUCAUGGCCCUUAUGGGUAGGGCUUCACACGUCAUACAAUGGUGCGUACAGAGGGUUGCCAACCCGCGAGGGGGAGCUAAUCCCAGAAAACGCAUCGUAGUCCGGAUCGUAGUCUGCAACUCGACUACGUGAAGCUGGAAUCGCUAGUAAUCGCGGAUCAGCAAGCCGCGGUGAAUACGUUCCCGGGUCUUGUACACACCGCCCGUCACACCAUGGGAGUGGGUUUUGCCAGAAGUAGAAAGCCUAACCGCAAGGAGGGCGAUUACCACG